rnacentral:rRNA from 1 species
UACGAAGGGGGCUAGCGUUGCUCGGAUUGACUGGGCGUAAAGGGCGCGUAGGCGGUUCGUACAGUCAGACGUGAAAUUCCUGGGCUCAACCUGGGGGCUGCGUUUGAUACGUGCGGACUUGAGUGCGGAAGAGGGUCGUGGAAAUUCCCAGUGUAGAGGUGAAAUUCGUAGAUAUUGGGAAGAACACCGGUGGCGAAGGCGGCGACCUGGUCCGAUACUGACGCUGAGGCGCGAAAGCGUGGGGGAGCAAACAGG